AUUGAACGCUGGCGGCAGGCUUAACACAUGCAAGUCGAGCGGGGUGAUGGUGCUUGCACUAUCACUUAGCGGCGGACGGGUGAGUAAUGCUUGGGAAUCUGCCUAUUAGUGGGGGACAACAUCUCGAAAGGGAUGCUAAUACCGCAUACGUCCUACGGGGGAAAGCAGGGGAUCACUUGUGACCUUGCGCUAAUAGAUGAGCCUAAGUCGGAUUAGCUAGUUGGUGGGGUAAAGGCCUACCAAGGCGACGAUCUGUAGCGGGUCUGAGAGGAUGAUCCGCCACAGUGGGACUGAGACGCGGCCCAGACUCCUACGGGAGGCAGCAGUGGGGGAUAUUGGACAAUGGGGGGAACCCUGAUCCAGCCAUGCCGCGUGUGUGAAGAAGGCCUUAUGGUUGUAAAGCACUUUAAGCGAGGAGGAGGCUCUUUUGGUUAAUACCCAGAAUGAGUGGACGUUACUCGCAGAAUAAGCACCGGCUAACUCUGUGCCAGCCGCCGCAGUAA
rnacentral:rRNA from 1 species